rnacentral:rRNA from 1 species
AUACGGAGGGUGCAAGCGUUACUCGGAAUCACUGGGCGUAAAGCGCGCGCAGGCGGCUUGAUAAGUUGGAUGUGAAAGCCUACGGCUCAACCGUAGAACUGCAUCCAAAACUGUCAAGCUAGAGUCUGGGAGGGGAAGAUGGAAUUAGUUGUGUAGGGGUAAAAUCCGUAGAGAUAACUAGGAAUACCAAAAGCGAAGGCGAUCUUCUGGAACAGUACUGACGCUGGGGCGCGAAAGCGUGGGGAGCAAACAGGAUUAGAAACCCUAGUAGUCC